GAUGAACGCUGGCGGCGUGCCUAAUACAUGCAAGUCGAGCGAACAGACGAGGAGCUUGCUCCUCUGACGUUAGCGGCGGACGGGUGAGUAACACGUGGAUAACCUACCUAUAAGACUGGGAUAACUUCGGGAAACCGGAGCUAAUACCGGAUAAUAUAUUGAACCGCAUGGUUCAAUAGUGAAAGACGGUUUUGCUGUCACUUAUAGAUGGAUCCGCGCCGCAUUAGCUAGUUGGUAAGGUAACGGCUUACCAAGGCAACGAUGCGUAGCCGACCUGAGAGGGUGGUCGGCCACACUGGAACUGGGACACGGUCCAGACUCCUACGGGAGGCAGCAGUAGGGAAUCUUCCGCAAUGGGCGAGAGCCUGACGGAGCAACGCCGCGUGAGUGAUGAAGGUCUUCCGAUCGUAAAACUCUGUUAUUAGGGAAGAACAAAUGUGUAAGUAACUAUGCACGUCUUGACGGUACCUAAUCAGAAAGCCACGGCUAACUACGUG
rnacentral:rRNA from 1 species